rnacentral:lncRNA from 1 species
GCUGCUGCUGCUGCUGUCAACUGUUGCUGUGGGUUGGGUGUUGUUGUGGGCUGGGCCAGGAAACAAUUAGUUGGGCCAAGAAUAAAAUUCUGUUGGGCCAAAAAUAAAAGCCCAGUGGAGUUGGUCCAAAAUAAUAGUUUGGGCCCCAAACACCACCCCAAAGCACCAAUUGCCAAGAUCCAAGUCCUUGGCCGCGGCCCGUACCCGACCCGCCCGUCCGGCG